GGGCGUUAAGUUGCAGGGUAUAGACCCGAAACCCGGUGAUCUAGCCAUGGGCAGGUUGAAGGUUGGGUAACACUAACUGGAGGACCGAACCGACUAAUGUUGAAAAAUUAGCGGAUGACCUGUGGCUGGGGGUGAAAGGCCAAUCAAACCGGGAGAUAGCUGGUUCUCCCCGAAAGCUAUUUAGGUAGCGCCUCGUGAAUUCAUCUCCGGGGGUAGAGCACUGUUUCGGCUAGGGGGCCAUCCCGGCUUACCAACCCGAUGCAAACUGCGAAUACCGGAGAAUGUUAUCACGGGAGACACACGGCGGGUGCUAACGUCCGUCGUGAAGAGGGAAACAACCCAGACCGCCAGCUAAGGUCCCAAAGUCAUGGUUAAGUGGGAAACGAUGUGGGAAGGCCCAGACAGCCAGGAUGUUGGCUUAGAAGCAGCCAUCAUUUAAAGAAAGCGUAAUAGCUCACUGGUCGAGUCGGCCUGCGCGGAAGAUGUAACGGGGCUAAACCAUGCACCGAAGCUGCGGCAGCGACACUGUGUGUUGUUGGGUAGGGGAGCGUUCUGUAAGCCUGUGAAGGUGUCCUGUGAGGCAUGCUGGAGGUAUCAGAAGUGCGAAUGCUGACAUAAGUAACGAUAAAGCGGGUGAAAAGCCCGCUCGCCGGAAGACCAAGGGUUCCUGUCCAACGUUAAUCGGGGCAGGGUGAGUCGACCCCUAAGGCGAGGCCGAAAGGCGUAGUCGAUGGGAAACGGGUUAAUAUUCCCGUACUUGGUGUUACUGCGAAGGGGGGACGGAGAAGGCUAUGUUGGCCGGGCGACGGUUGUCCCGGUUUAAGCGUGUAGGUGUGUGUUCCAGGUAAAUCCGGUUCACUUUAACACUGAGGCGUGACGACGAGGCACUACGGUGCUGAAGCAACAAAUGCCCUGCUUCCAGGAAAAGCCUCUAAGCAUCAGGUAACAUCAAAUCGUACCCCAAACCGACACAGGUGGUCAGGUAGAGAAUACCAAGGCGCUUGAGAGAACUCGGGUGAAGGAACUAGGCAAAAUGGUGCCGUAACUUCGGGAGAAGGCACGCUGACACGUAGGUGAAGUGAUUUACUCAUGGAGCUGAAGUCAGUCGAAGAUACCAGCUGGCUGCAACUGUUUAUUAAAAACACAGCACUGUGCAAACACGAAAGUGGACGUAUACGGUGUGACGCCUGCCCGGUGCCGGAAGGUUAAUUGAUGGGGUCAGCGCAAGCGAAGCUCCUGAUCGAAGCCCCGGUAAACGGCGGCCGUAACUAUAACGGUCCUAAGGUAGCGAAAUUCCUUGUCGGGUAAGUUCCGACCUGCACGAAUGGCGUAAUGAUGGCCAGGCUGUCUCCACCCGAGACUCAGUGAAAUUGAACUCGCUGUGAAGAUGCAGUGUACCCGCGGCAAGACGGAAAGACCCCGUGAACCUUUACUAUAGCUUGACACUGAACAUUGAGCCUUGAUGUGUAGGAUAGGUGGGAGGCUUUGAAGUGUGGACGCCAGUCUGCAUGGAGCCGACCUUGAAAUACCACCCUUUAAUGUUUGAUGUUCUAACGUGGACCCGUUACCCGGGUUGCGGACAGUGUCUGGUGGGUAGUUUGACUGGGGCGGUCUCCUCCUAAAGAGUAACGGAGGAGCACGAAGGUUGGCUAAUCCUGGUCGGACAUCAGGAGGUUAGUGCAAUGGCAUAAGCCAGCUUGACUGCGAGCGUGACGGCGCGAGCAGGUGCGAAAGCAGGUCAUAGUGAUCCGGUGGUUCUGAAUGGAAGGGCCAUCGCUCAACGGAUAAAAGGUACUCCGGGGAUAACAGGCUGAUACCGCCCAAGAGUUCAUAUCGACGGCGGUGUUUGGCACCUCGAUGUCGGCUCAUCACAUCCUGGGGCUGAAGUAGGUCCCAAGGGUAUGGCUGUUCGCCAUUUAAAGUGGUACGCGAGCUGGGUUUAGAACGUCGUGAGACAGUUCGGUCCCUAUCUGCCGUGGGCGCUGGAGAACUGAGGGGGGCUGCUCCUAGUACGAGAGGACCGGAGUGGACGCAUCACUGGUGUUCGGGUUGUCAUGCCAAUGGCACUGCCCGGUAGCUAAAUGCGGAAGAGAUAAGUGCUGAAAGCAUCUAAGCACGAAACUUGCCCCGAGAUGAGUUCUCCCUGAGACUUA
rnacentral:rRNA from 1 species